UAGGGAAUAUUGGUCAAUGGGCGCAAGCCUGAACCAGCCAUGUCGCGUGCAGGAUUGAAGGUCCUUAGGAUUGUAAACUGCUUUUUUAUGGGAGCAAUACCUUCUUGCGAGAAGGCUUGAGAGUACCAUAAGAAUAAGCACCGGCUAACUCCGUGCCAGCAGCCGCGGUAAUACGGAGGGUGCAAGCGUUAUCCGGAUUUAUUGGGUUUAAAGGGUACGUAGGCGGUGAGGUCAGUCAGUGGUGAAAGCCAGCAGCUUAACUGUUGAACUGCCAUUGAUACUGCCUCACUAGAGUUCAGUCGAGGUGGGUGGAAUUCCACAUGUAGUGGUGAAAUGCAUAGAUAUGUGGAGGAACACCGAUAACGAAGGUAACUCACUAGGCUGAUACUGACGCUGAGGUACGAAAGCGUGGGGAGCGAACGGGAUUAGAUACCCCCGUAGUCC
rnacentral:rRNA from 1 species